AGCUGCGUGGCGCAGUGGAAGCGCGGUAAGUCACCAAAACCCACUGAUAAAAAGUCGGGUCCCAUUGUACUAACAACAAAAUAACAGCCGGGCUCAUAACCCGGAGGUCCUCCGAUCGAAACGGAGCGCAGCUA